CUCAGCCGAAGUGUACGCAGCUGUGCCAAUUUACACCUACCAUCUGAGCCUGUGACGUUAUGGAAUCGGCUUUUUUAAAAGACAAAUUCGGCCUUCUGUGUAUUCUGAACCCGUUGCGAGGUACACUGUUCACAUGGAUGUUGCUGACUUCUGAGAGAUUGAAAACGGAGAUGCUGAAGAAGACGUUCCUGUCUUGAUAACACCACGGAGCAUCAGUUCGGACUGACAAGCACCUGGCUCCUUCCUUGCACCUGACCUAUCUGGCCAAGAGGCUGGGCUGAGCAAUAGACUGACGACCCUACGAUCACAGCUCUUCUCUUCCAAGAACCACGCCUAUUACAUGCCGAAGCUCUGAUGAGCCGAAGCUGGGAUCCUAGCAUGUCAGUGCUUUAGAGAAGUUGCUCCAUGACUGGGAAAGGAGAAUAUGGGGAUGAGAGUCAAACUUCAUGGCCCCUAAGUUUCCUUCCAGCCCCAAUGUCUGCGCAACUGACUCUUGUGUUUGGAAGAUUUACAGAGCGACAAGAAAGAAACCAUCUGGCAUGAAGAACUUCAGCAAAUGUCCAUCAAAGGAUGACACUGCAUCUUGCGUGUGCUCUGCCGCGCUACCAACUUCUUGAGGAGGAGAAACGGCUGACAUUUCCUGACAUCGGCUAUGAUCAGGGCCUUCCGGGAGCGUCUCCAAAACCGUUUUAAAGGAAUAUUUAUGGAUGUUCACUGGGAAAGAGGGCCCUGCGAGACUUGUUUGUGACUCUCCAAGGCCUCUUCUCCACAGAGCCGUGGUGUUUUCUUGGUACUGCCACCUUUGGAACAUGAGAAUGCCCUCCAAAAUCUUCCCCUGAGAGAGAAGAGAAGACAGCUGGGCUGAAAGCCAGCAGAUCUGCGGGUGGCAUCGUGCUAUCAACAUAAAGGCUUGGUACUGCUACAUGGGCUCUUGAAUCCCAGCAGCGCUAACUCACUCCGUCUGAGUGUGCACCGGAUUUUUCUCUUAGGCCACAUCUUCAC